GUUCUUGAUAUAAAAAUGCUAAAGGAAGCAGCAAAUGCAUACACUCCGAAAGUGUUUGAAAAUUUUCAAAAUGAGUUUAAGAAAAUUCUUAAUCAUUCUCUUUUUAAAUGUGGUGAGGUUGGCACAGUUGCGAAAUUUCAAGUUACUGAUAACGACAAAGUUGAAGGACGUACUGUUAAAUUUGACUCGCUAGACAAUACAGUGAUAUGUAGUUGCCGCAAGUUUGAGUUUGUGGGCAUCUUAUGUAGUCAUGCAUUAAAAGUUUUAGAUUAUUAUAAUACAAAGGUGCUUCCUUCUUGUUAUAUUCUGGAAAGAUGGCAUAGAGAUGUAAAGGUAAGUUUUGCUAGAGAAGCGGUUACAUUAACAAUACAAGAUAACCGCAAUAUUGUAUCGGGUAAGCGACACAAAUAUAUGUCUCACGAACUUCUUAAAAUUGCGGCAAUAGUUGGAGAACAUGAAGAGGUCUUCAAAUUUGCUGAUAGAUAUUCUAAUAAAUUUCAUGAUGAAUUGAUGGAAUGCAUGAAAAGGAUUAAGGAACUUCUGCCAAACUCUUAUCAAGUUGUUGACAAAAGUGUAGAUAUUAAACAUGCAUGCUCAGACCCAACUAAAAGUAUAGAUACUGAAAUUGAAGGUGCACAAUUUGAGCCAACUGAAAAUGUAGAUAUUAAAAGCGCACAUCCUAAGCCAAUUGUAAGUGUAGAUACCAAAAGCGCAUGCCGUGAACCGAUUGAAAAAAAUUUACUUUUGUGGAUAGUUUGAGUUCACAAACUGUACAUGGGAUUAAAGUAAAGCCUAUAAUUAUGGGCAAUCAUCGUACAUAUAAAAAUCCGUUAGAUAAAGUAUGGAAGAAAAGAUUUUGAAAUCCUAUUGCUCAAACAAAAGCAAAUUAAGAGAGACAGGAAAUGGCCCAAGCAUUUUAACCUUCAAAUUGUCAAUUUACGUUCACCCCAAUGUGUCAUUUUAAUAAAAGUUCACAGAGUAUGGUGGCGAGCUCUCUUCAAUUACCUGGUAGAUCCAUUGAUGCAUCAUUAUUACCUCAACGUGAAUACCAACCAGCUAAUCUUAACAUGUUUCAACAAAACCUUUAUAAUCUUGGGAGUGGUCCUAGUGGAUCCACGAGUGGCCCUUUUGUUGCUUGUGACUAUCCAACCAUCAACUCGAAUCAGCAAUUUCUCUUGAGCAACCCACAAUUAUUUUCUCAAGAAAGUGUUGUGUGUAACCAGUUAUCAUCACAACAAUCUGACAAUAAUUAAUCGGUGGGAAGAGCAUCACAUACAUUCUAAUAUUUUGUCAAAGGAGAUUCUCCACUACCAAAUUCAAUCAUUGCGUUUCUUCAAUCAUUGCGAGCAGGUGCUAGUCAUGUUGACAUGAUUCAUGUUCCAAGAAGCAAACUCUAAGGACGUUCGGUAUGGAUGUGUUGCUAGUCUAAUAAUUUGUGGCUCUCUGUAGAUUUUGUACAGUCAAAUUAUUUAUCUUGUGGGCCCACUGUAUUAAUUAUCAGGUGGCCAAGAUUUUUAAUAAGGCGUCCAUAUAAUGCUUGAGGCUGAUAUGUAACAUAGAAUCAUCAAAUAAAAGUACUGCUUUGAAAUCAUAAGCAGACCAAAGUAGGAUUUAUCUGGUAGAUGUUUCAAAAUGAUGAUUGGAAGGGGGUUU